UACAGAGGGCGCGAGCGUUGUCCGGAAUCACUGGGCGUAAAGGGCGCGUAGGUGGCCACCAUAAGGCCGCGGUGAAAGUCUGGGGCUCAACCCCAGAUCGGCCGCGGCGACUGUGGGGCGUAGGGUACCGUAGAGGCAGAUGGAAUUCCGGGUGUAGCGGUGGAAUGCGUAGAGAUCCGGAAGAACACCAGUGGCGAAGGCGGUCUUCGUGGAGCACUCUUGAGCGCUGAGGCGCGGAAAGCUGGGGGAGCGAACGGGAUU
rnacentral:rRNA from 1 species